AACGAACGCUGGCGGCAUGCCUAACACAUGCAAGUCGAACGAGACCUUCGGGUCUAGUGGCGCACGGGUGCGUAACGCGUGGGAACCUGCCCUUAGGUUCGGAAUAACUCCCCGAAAGGGGUGCUAAUACCGGAUAAUGUCUUCGGACCAAAGAUUUAUCGCCUUUGGAUGGGCCCGCGUUGGAUUAGCUAGUUGGUAGGGUAAAAGCCUACCAAGGCGACGAUCCAUAGCUGGUCUGAGAGGAUGAUCAGCCACACUGGGACUGAGACACGGCCCAGACGCCUACGGGAGGAAGCAGUGGGAAUAUUGGACAAUGGGCGAAAGCCUGAUCCAGCAAUGCCGCGUGAGUGAUGAAGGCCUUAGGGUUGUAAAGCUCUUUUACCCGGGAUGAUAAUGACAGUACCGGGAGAAUAAGCUCCGGCUAACUCCGUG
rnacentral:rRNA from 1 species